rnacentral:RNase_P_RNA from 1 species
CUAGAUUGCUAGGUGAUCGCCCCUUUUGAAAAAGGAGAGGAAAGUCCGGACAGCAUAGAGCAACGACAGUCGUUAACGGCGACCAGAAGUAAUUCUAGGGAAAGUGCCACAGAAACGAUACAGCCUAAGUCCUUCAUAGGAACGGCAAUGGUGAAAGGAGUGCGGUAAGAGCGUACAGCAGAAUAUGGCGACAUAUUCUGGAGGUAAACCCUGUCGGCUGCAAGGAAAUCUGGUUAUUGGCUGCUCGUCAACAGAUUGUAUGAACCCGCUAUAGAGUACCAGCAAUGGUAUCCAUAGAUAGAUGAUCGCCCUCGACAAAAUCCGGCUUACGGCAAUCUAGCUUU